rnacentral:rRNA from 1 species
CCUACGGGUGGCAGCAGUGAGGAAUAUUGGUCAAUGGACGAGAGUCUGAACCAGCCAAGUAGCGUGAAUGAUGACUGCUCUAUGGGUUGUAAACUUCUUCUAUAAAGGAAUAAAACGAGGCACGUGUGCCUUUUUGCAUGUACUUUAUCAAUAAGGAUCGGCUAACUCCGGGCCAGCAGCCGCGGUAAUACGGAGGGUCCGAGCGUUAUCCGGAUUUAUUGGGUUUAAAGGGAGCGUAGAUGGGUUGUUAAGUCAGUUGUGAAAGUUUGGGGCUCAACCGUAAAAUUGCAAUGGAUACUGGCAGUCUUGAGGACAGUUGAGGUAGGCGGAAUUCGUGGUGUAGCGGUGAAAUGCUUAGAUAUCAGGAAGAACCCCGAUUGCGAAGGCAGCUUACUAAACUGUGACUGACGUUGAGGCUCGAAAGUGUGGGUAGCAAACAGGAUUAGAUACCCGUGUAGUC